GACAGCGAUAGCUCGGCUGGUAGAGCGUCCGCCCGAUAGGCGGAGUUGCCGGUUCGAUCCCGGCUCGUGACG
rnacentral:tRNA from 1 species